UGGCGAACGGGUGAGUAACGCGUGAGGAACCUGCCUCAAAGAGGGGGACAACAGUUGGAAACGACUGCUAAUACCGCAUAAGCCCACGGGUCGGCAUCGACCUGAGGGAAAAGGAGCAAUCCGCUUUGAGAUGGCCUCGCGUCCGAUUAGCUAGUUGGUGAGGUAACGGCCCACCAAGGCGACGAUCGGUAGCCGGACUGAGAGGUUGAACGGCCACAUUGGGACUGAAACACGGCCCAG
rnacentral:rRNA from 1 species